rnacentral:rRNA from 1 species
GCUGCGCAUACGUAGCUACGGCGAGUGACCGGGAAGAGCUCAAAUUUGAAAUCUGGCGUGCUCAGUGCGUCCGAGUUGUAAUCUAUAGAGUCGUUUUCCGUGCCGGACUGUGUCCAAGUCCCUUGGAACAGGGUAUCAAAGAGGGUGAUAAUCCCGUACUUGACACAAUGACCGGUGCUCUGUGAUACGUCUUCUACGAGUCGAGUUGUUUGGGAAUGCAGCUCAAAAUGGGUGGUGAGUUCCAUCUAAAGCUAAAUAUUGGCGAGAGACCGAUAGCGAACAAGUACCGUGAGGGAAAGAUGAAAAGCACUUUGGAAAGAGAGUUAAACAGUACGUGAAAUUGUUAAAAGGGAAACGAUUGAAGUCAGUCGUGACUGAGAGGCUCAGCCGGUUCUGCCGGUGUAUUCCCCUCAGUCGGGUCAACAUCAGUUUUGUUCGGUGGAUAAGGGCAGUUGGAAGGUGGCACCCUCGGGUGUGUUAUAGCCAGCUGUCGCAUACAUCGGAUGAGACUGAGGAAUGCAGCUCGCCUUUAUGGCCGGGGUUCGCCCACGUUCGAGCUUAGGAUGUUGACAUAAUGGCUUUAAACGACCCGUCUUGAAACACGGACCCA